rnacentral:rRNA from 1 species
ACGUAGGGGGCUAGCGUUAUCCGGAUUUACUGGGCGUAAAGGGUGCGUAGGCGGUCUUUCAAGUCAGGAGUGAAAGGCUACGGCUCAACCGUAGUAAGCUCUUGAAACUGGGAGACUUGAGUGCAGGAGAGGAGAGUGGAAUUCCUAGUGUAGCGGUGAAAUGCGUAGAUAUUAGGAGGAACACCAGUUGCGAAGGCGGCUCUCUGGACUGUAACUGACGCUGGGGCACGAAAGCGUGGGGAGCAAACAGGAUUAGAUACCCUGGUAGUCCACGCUGUAAACGAUGAGUACUAGGUGUCGGGGGUUACCCCCCUCGGUGCCGCAGCUAACGCAUUAAGUACUCCGCGGGGGAAGUACGCUCGCAAGAGUGAAACUCAAA